rnacentral:rRNA from 1 species
AGUCGAACGAAGCACCUUGAUUUGAUUCUUCGGAUGAAGAUCUUGGUGACUGAGUGGCGGACGGGUGAGUAACGCGUGGGUAACCUGCCUCAUACAGGGGGAUAACAGUUAGAAAUGACUGCUAAUACCGCAUAAGACCACAGCACCGCAUGGUGCAGGGGUAAAAACUCCGGUGGUAUGAGAUGGACCCGCGUCUGAUUAGGUAGUUGGUGGGGUAACGGCCUACCAAGCCGACGAUCAGUAGCCGACCUGAGAGGGUGACCGGCCACAUUGGGACUGAGACACGGCCCAAACUCCUACGGGAGGCAGCAGUGGGGAAUAUUGCACAAUGGGGGAAACCCUGAUGCAGCGACGCCGCGUGAGCGAUGAAGUAUUUCGGUAUGUAAAGCUCUAUCAGCAGGGAAGAAAAUGACGGUACCUGACUAAGAAGCACCGGCUAAAUACGUGCCAGCAGCCGCGGUAAUACGUAUGGUGCAAGCGUUAUCCGGAUUUACUGGGUGUAAAGGGAGCGUAGACGGAGUGGCAAGUCUGAUGUGAAAACCCGGGGCUCAACCCCGGGACUGCAUUGGAAACUGUCAAUCUAGAGUACCGGAGAGGUAAGCGGGAUUCCUAGUGUAGCGGUGAAAUGCGUAGAUAUUAGGAGGAACACCAGUGG